GGGUUGGAGCCCCCUUCUCAUGGAUACUAGUCGGGUUUGUUUCUGCUGAGCCACAAAGGGAAGUCCAUACUUGUACUAUUAGAGUCUGGAAUAGUUGAUGACCGUGGGAGAAUAUGCUGCAAUACAUCCAAGUUUUAUAAAAAGGGGGAAAAAAAGGAGAUGAGAGUUAAUCUACACUCCACAAAUAUGUACCCUGUGAUAGGCACUUUGCUAAACCUUUUUUUCAUUUAGUGGCCCCAGUAAGCAUUAUAAUCUGCAAUUAAAAAAACAAAAAUACAAACAAAUUAAAACUCAGAGAAGUAUGUGACUUGCCUAAGAUUCCCAACUGCUACGUGGUAGGGUAAGGAUUUUAAUCCUAGUCUUUCUAAUUGCAUAGACUGUGUACUUUUCACCUGUCUAGACUUUCUCAAGCAGGAAUUCUCAAACCGGAUGUUGCACAAGGACCAUCCAUGGAGCUUGUGGCACCACAGUCAUGACGAUGCCAGAUCCCUUAGCUGCUAGGCUGCCAGGGAGCUCCUAAAAUAUUUUAGGAAAAGGGAAAUGUGAAAUAAAACCCACUGAAAUAGCUAAAGUUAAGAAAACCCGAAACACCGAGAGUUGGUGAAGAUGUGUGAUGAGAAACCAGCAUCUUGAUAAAUUUGGUGAGAAUGUAUAAUGCUCCAGCCACUUGUGAGAAGUAUCUAUUUUUUUAAAUAAAACUAAACAUACACUUA